ensembl:snoRNA
GGCCUCUUGAGAUUGCGUCUAGAGUGGCUAGAAUUCUGCCAACUUCAGAAACAGGAGGAGAGCAAGUUGAGCAGAGGUACCCAUUGCAUUCCCAGUUUGCUCAGUAGCUGGCGAUUGGAAGACACUCUGCAGCAUCA